UUCAAAUAUCCAUCAAACUAAUAAUUCAAAAUCAUGAAAUAGAAAGUUUAAUAAAAAUUACAUGGUUCAUCGAUCACCUAGUUGCAAAAAUCUAGCCUAUCAUGAUAAAAAUAACGAAAACUAACAAAAUAUGAAUAAAAUACAUCACCGGGUUAUCAAAGGUUGAAGGAAUCUCGUAAAUCUCGCAUCAAUUGCUUGUUCUUGCCUUCAAUUCCACUCCAAGAUGAAUGCUUUUGCCUCCCAAGUCGUUCGUGCGGCUUCUGGACGUUUUGCUGCUAUUUAAACCCGUCCAAAUUAUGUUACCAAAGGAGUUGCAAUCAUAUAAGGAAACUGCAAAAUUAGGGGAAAAUUUAUACCUAUGCGAUCGCAUAGGCAUAACCUAUGCGACCGCAUAGGUUUAGGAAAAAUGCCAUUUUUAAUCCCUGGAGGUUCACUCGCGGUCGCAUAGGUUUUAUACUAUGCGACCGCAUAGUAGAGUUACUUUCUUGUUUGAGUCAUUUUGGUCCUCAGGUUUCAUUCCUUCACUCCUUGACCUCCUCUCUUGUUCCUAGUUGCUCCAAUUGUCCCUUAUAAUUUCUAAUUGGUGCUUGGCUUGAUCAAUUGCUUGAUGUGUUCAUCGGAUCAACUUUUAGAUAAUUGCAAUUUGGUCCCUGAAUUUUCUUUUUGCUUCAAUUUGGUCCUUUUUCGGCUCUUUUCUCCUGAAUUCCACUAUUUCCAUAGAAUUUCCUACAUUGCAUGAAUUUGACAAAGUUAAGUAGCAAUUAAAUCAUUUUACUUGUAUUUAAGUCAUGUUUGUGAUGUAAAUAAGUGUGCAAAAACACACUUAUCACACAUCCGGUCAGAGCGAUCCCACUUUUCAAUUUUACCCUCAUUGGGGUUU
rnacentral:lncRNA from 1 species